rnacentral:tRNA from 1 species
GCCUGGGUGGCUCAGUCGCUUAAGCGUCUGACUUUGGCUCAGGUCAUGAUCUCCUAGUCUGUGGGUUCGAGCCCCGCGUCUGGCU